GAAAUGCGAUAAGUAAUGUGAAUUGCAGAAUUCAGUGAAUCAUCGAAUCUUUGAACGCACAUUGCGCCCGCCAGUAUUCUGGCGGGCAUGCCUGUUCGAGCGUCAUUUCAACCAUCAAGCCCCCGGGCUUGUGUUGGGGACCUGCGGCUGCCGCAGGCCCCGAAAACCAGUGGCGGGCUCACUGUCACACCGGGCGUAGUAGAUUUUUCGUCUCGCCCAGGGCGUGCUGCGGGUUCCGGCCGUUAAAAAGCCUCUCUUUUAACCCAAGGUUGACCUCGGAUCAGGUAGGAAGACCCGCUGAACUUAAGC
rnacentral:misc_RNA from 1 species